rnacentral:rRNA from 1 species
ACGUACACUCCUACGGGAGGCAGCAGUGAGGAAUAUUGGACAAUGGGUGGAAGCCUGAUCCAGCCAUCCCGCGUGCAGGAAGACGGCCCUAUGGGUUGUAAACUGCUUUUAUCUGGGGAUAAACCUACUUACGUGUAAGUAGCUGAAGGUACCAGAAGAAUAAGCACCGGCUAACUCCGUGCCAGCAGCCGCGGUAAUACGGAGGGUGCAAGCGUUAUCCGGAUUUAUUGGGUUUAAAGGGUCCGUAGGCGGACUGAUAAGUCAGUGGUGAAAUCCGACAGCUUAACUGUCGAACUGCCAUCGAUACUGUUAGUCUUGAGUAAGGUUGAAGUGGCUGGAAUAAGUAGUGUAGCGGUGAAAUGCAUAGAUAUUACUUAGAACACCAAUUGCGAAGGCAGGUCACUAAGUCUUAACUGACGCUGAUGGACGAAAGCGUGGGGAGCGAACAGGAUUAGAAACCCCAGUAGUCCCAUGA